rnacentral:rRNA from 1 species
GGAUUGUAGGCUGAAACUCGCCUACAUGAAGCUGGAGUUACUAGUAAUCGCAGAUCAGAAUGCUGCGGUGAAUGCGUUCCCGGGUCUUGUACACACCGCCCGUCACACCACGGAAGUUGGGGCGCCCGAAGCCACUUAGCUAACCCUUUGGGAAGCGAGUGUCGAAGGUGAAAUCAAUAACUGGGGUGAAGUCGUAACAAGGUACC